rnacentral:rRNA from 1 species
AUACGGGGGGUGCAAGCGUUAAUCGGAAUUACUGGGCGUAAAGCGCGCGUAGGCGGUUUGCUCAGUCGGAUGUGAAAGCCCAGGGCUCAACCUUGGAACUGCAUACGAUACUGGCAAACUAGAGUGUGCGAGAGGAUAGUGGAAUUUCCGGUGUAGCGGUGAAAUGCGUAGAUAUCGGAAGGAACAUCAGUGGCGAAGGCGACUGUCUGGCUCAACACUGACGCUGAGGUGCGAAAGCGUGGGUAGCAAACAGAAUUAGAAACCCUAGUAGUCC